rnacentral:rRNA from 1 species
UACGUAGGGUGCAAGCGUUGUCCGGAAUUAUUGGGCGUAAAGAGCUCGUAGGCGGCUUGUCACGUCGGCUGUGAAAACCUGGGGCUCAACCCCGGGCCUGCAGCCGAUACGGGCAAGCUAGAAUUCGGUAGGGGAGACUGGAAUUCCUGGUGUAGCAGUGAAAUGCGCAGAUAUCAGGAGGAACACCGGUGGCGAAGGCGGGUCUCUGGGCCGAUAUUGACGCUGAGGAGCGAAAGCGUGGGGAGCAAACAGG